CAAAACUUCAAGCCAGUUUGUCUAAUUCUCUUUGCUCACACCCUAACUGCUUCUCUGCCACCCACCAGAGAGCCUCAGGAGUUCUUGGAAAAUGACAGUUACCCUGUUGGGAGGACACCCAGGCAGCCUGUGGAGACGCCCACACCAGUGAGCUGAUGUGGGAGCCAGUCUUCUUCACCCCGCCGGCGGCUGCACCAGUAGGAUGGGAAGCAGCUUGGCCAUUGCCAGUUGAAUGUUGGCAGGACUGCGGCCCGAGCCGGGGGCACUCAUGCCACACCCGGGUUCUCCACCCUCAAGGACUCUGCGAUCCAAAACGGUGGCUGACAGAAGCUGCUAGGUUUGGGGUUACUUUGCCACACAGCAAUCGAUCCUGAAAAAUGUCCUUUGGGUCCUCACAAAUUGGUGCUUUGUGCCCAGGGUUCCAUCCUCAGCAAUGAAGCAACCGCGUUCCUU